CCUACGGGUGGCAGCAGUGGGGAAUAUUGGUCAAUGGGCGCAAGCCUGAACCAGCAACGCCGCGUGAAGGAAGAAGGCUUUCUGGUUGUAAACUUCUUUUCUCAGGGACGCAGAAGGUGACGGUCCCUGAGGAAUAAGCCACGGCUAACUACGUGCCAGCAGCCGCGGUAAUACGUAGGUGGCGAGCGUUAUCCGGAUUUAUUGGGUGUAAAGGGCGGGUAGGCGGGAGGGCAAGUCAGAUGUGAAAACUCAGGGCUCAACCCUGAGCCUGCAUUUGAAACUGUGUUUCUUGAGUGCGGGAGAGGCAAGCGGAAUUCGGGGUGUAGCGGUGAAAUGCGUAGAUAUAAGGAGGAACACCAGUGGCGAAGGCGGAUUGCUGGACAGUAACUGACGCUGAGGCGCGAAAGCGUGGGGAGCAAACAGGAUUAGAUACCCUAGUAGUC
rnacentral:rRNA from 1 species